ACCUGGUUGCUGUGUGGAACUGUUCUGGACGCUGCACGAUACCAUAUGUUAACCCCUGAAGAAGUCAUCUUGACAAAACGCGUUGGUUCAAAUCAGUUAUGGUCUUCUGCUCAGUUCACCACUACAUCUUUUGAGCUCACACCUGUAAAGGUGAUCUCUUGGUGUGAGGGUAUAUUUACAGGUUUACAAAACAAAUCAUACCGUGGAGAAAAUUCUCUGGACUAUAUAUGGAACUAAUAAUUUGAAUACAAGUAUAUUUUUAAGGCUAUGUACUGAGCGCAAUUGGUUUUUGUUUGUAAAAUAUAUAUAUAUAUAUAUAUAUAUAUACAAAAAUUGGAUAUGCAAGGGGAGCUAACUUUUAUGUACUUAGAUGGCUGUUUCUUAUCUCCAAAUUAUGACCACAAUUUGUAAAACGACUGUUUAUUCAUAUGUUUGACAAUGAA